UAAUCUGCGAUAAGCGCCGGUAAGGUGAUAUGAACCGUUAUAACCGGCGAUUUCCGAAUGGGGAAACCCAGUGUGACUCGUCACACUAUCAUUAACUGAAUCCAUAGGUUAAUGAGGCGAACCGGGGGAACUGAAACAUCUAAGUACCCCGAGGAAAAGAAAUCAACCGAGAUUCCCCCAGUAGCGGCGAGCGAACGGGGAGGAGCCCAGAGCCUGAAUCAGCAUGUGUGUUAGUGGAAGCGUCUGGAAAGGCGCGCGAUACAGGGUGACAGCCCCGUACACAAAAGCGCAUGUGCUGUGAGCUCGAUGAGUAGGGCGGGACACGUGGUAUCCUGUCUGAAUAUGGGGGGACCAUCCUCCAAGGCUAAAUACUCCUGACUGACCGAUAGUGAACCAGUACCGUGAGGGAAAGGCGAAAAGAACCCCGGCGAGGGGAGUGAAAAAGAACCUGAAACCGUGUACGUACAAGCAGUGGGAGCACAGGUUUACCUGUGUGACUGCGUACCUUUUGUAUAAUGGGUCAGCGACUUAUAUUCUGUAGCAAGGUUAACCGUAUAGGGGAGCCGUAGGGAAACCGAGUCUUAAC
rnacentral:rRNA from 1 species